ensembl:lncRNA FAM86JP family with sequence similarity 86 member J, pseudogene
ACGUCAUGGCGCCCGAGGAGAACGCUGGGACCUAACUCUUGCUGCAGAGUUUGCAGCGCCGCUUUCUGGCGGCGCGCGCGCUGCGCUCCUUCCCCUGGCAGAGCUUAGAAGCAAAAUUAACAGACUCAUCAGAUUCUGAGCUUCUGCGGGAUAUUUUGCAGAAGACGUGCUGUAUUGCCCAGAAGCCAUCGUGUUGCUGGUCGGGGUCCUGCUGAGGCUGGCUGCCUGCCGGGAGCACCAGCGGGCUCCUGAGGUCUAUGUGGCCUUUACUGUCCGCAACCCAGAGACAUGCCAGCUGUUCACCACCGAGCUAGGCCAGGCCAGGAUCAGAUGGGAAGUGGAACCUCGUCAUGACCAGAAACUGUUUCCCUAUGAAGAGCACUUGGAGAUGGCAAUGCUGAACCUCACACUGUAGGACUCACACACGACUCCAAUGGGAUUGUGAGAAUCAAGUCACUCUCAAGGGAAGAGGUUUCAUAUGGGAAAGCUGAUAAAACUUUCACUGGACUGGAAUGUUUGGAGAAUGUUAAUUUCCAAAUCAGGAACUACAAACUGCCCUCUAAUAAGACAUCGGCUAUCUAAGCGUGUGGGUGCUCCCUUUCUGCCAGCAGUUCUGGUUCUUAAGGAAAUCGCCAUCACUCAGACAUGAAAACUCUGGCUCCAAAAAUAGCAUUUUCUUUGUGCAAAUAAAAACGUGUGUAUCAAGUAUGUGGACACACUCGGUUCCUCACAAAGCCAAGCCUGCUGCAGCUGCCACAUCCCUGGACACACUUGGUUCCUCACAAAGCCAAGACUGCUGCAGCUGCCACAUCCGCGGACACACUCAGUUCUUCACAAAGCCAAGCCCGCUGCAGCUGCCACAUCCCUGGGCUUACGAUGCAGCAGGUGCUUUUUUCAAGACAGGAAUCAAAAUGUUAGGAACACGGCAGAAAGGUGACACCUGGAGACCAAACGCAGGAUAAGGAGUACUGCAGAGGUCACAGGGAAGUCACAGAACAGUAAUACGCUAGCAGGGGCAUGGGGCAUGAAGAACAGAAGAAGAGAGGAAGUGUUUCCGAGCCUCCGGAAAAGAAAUCAGAGCCAAGCACAGCUUCCCGGGUCACAGAACCAAUUCAUUCACCAGGCGGCACCACUGCCGUCAUUUCAGCUUCUGGCCACUGGGAGGCGCUGCUCAAAAGGGUUUGCCCUGAGACUCCGAGAAGAAGCUGCGGGAAGGACAGCAGGGGUCCCGGGGUUUUAGCCUCUGGCCCAGGAGUUGUAUGUCCAUAACCAAAGGGAGCACAGUCUGCACCCAGCUCUCAUCCCAUCGGAGCUGCUGCGACUCCCGCAGGUUCUUCCAAAACUGGUUUAGCUUGCCUGCAGGAUCAGGAAAGUUUGAGAAAAGCAUCUGCAAAAAAAUAAAGAGCAGAGCUUACCUCAUUGCCUGUCCCCACCCCAUCCCAGGUCACCACCUGGCUGACCCCAGGUCCCCGACCCAACAACAACCCCUCCCAAGUUCCUAACUCUCUCACUUGGACUCGAGACUCUUCACGCCCCAGCAGCGCUCCGCCUCCAACUUGACAUCAUGCUUUCUGGAAACUUCCCCGUAUGUCCCACUUUCCCACACUUGGUGCCCUGGAGCACCUCCCGGCCUCUAACGUGCUGUAUGUUCCCCUGCGAGCACCCUCCUCUUGGCCUCUGGCCAAGUCCCACCCAUCUGUGGGUAACAAGGGGGUGUCGGUGUUCUUUUCAGCCUUGCUAAACUCUCUGAAUCAAGGAUCACAAACUACAGCCUGCAGGCCAAAUCCAGCCCACAGCCUGUGUUUGUAAAUAAAGUUUUAUUGGAACAAA